UCCCGUGUAGGUCAGUUGGUAGAGCAUGGCGCUUGCAACGCCAGGGUUGUUGGUUCGGUUCCCACGGGGG
rnacentral:tRNA from 1 species